UACGUAGGGCGCAAGCGUUGUCCGGAAUUAUUGGGCGUAAAGAGCUCGUAGGCGGCUUGUCGCGUCGGAUGUGAAAGCCCGGGGCUUAACUCGGGUCUGCAUUCGAUACGGGCAGGCUAGAGUUCGGUAGGGGAGAUCGGAAUUCCUGGUGUAGCGGUGAAAUGACGCAGAUAUCAGGAGGAACACCGGUGGCGAAGGCGGAUCUCUGGGCCGAUACUGACGCUGAGGAGCGAAAGCGUGGGGAGCGAACAGG
rnacentral:rRNA from 1 species